rnacentral:snRNA from 1 species
GGACAUGAGGGCACUCUGGCUGCGACACCUGUCACCCCAUUGGUCUCCAAGUUUGAUUUGGCUGAUCUGGCUGCUAGACGGGUGUCGUGCUCCUUCCUCACCGCUCCAAGUGCGUCCCACUCGGCGCUGCACGCCGGUGGAAGAGGACAACCUCUCCCGAUAAAAUGGUUAAAUGGUGCAAGUUUUAUAUCAGAGUCUUCAGCUUCAAAUAGAAAAUCAGUUAAUUAUAAAAAUAUUUCAACUUUUUCCAUCAAUUUAUGAAAUACAAAUGUAGCUCAUUCUGGCAUAGUUAAAACAUCUGAUUUUUUUU